CGUAGCCGCGGUAAUACGUAGGGUGCAAGCGUUAAUCGGAAUUACUGGGCGUAAAGCGUGCGCAGGCGGUUAUAUAAGACAGAUGUGAAAUCCCCGGGCUCAACCUGGGAACUGCAUUUGUGACUGUAUAGCUAGAGUACGGCAGAGGGGGAUGGAAUUCCGCGUGUAGCAGUGAAAUGCGUAGAUAUGCGGAGGAACACCGAUGGCGAAGGCAAUCCCCUGGGCCUGUACUGACGCUCAUGCACGAAAGCGUGGGGAGCAAACAGGAUUAGAUACCCCCGUAGUCCCUGUCUCUUAUACA
rnacentral:rRNA from 1 species